rfam:Ovis aries breed Texel chromosome 5, whole genome shotgun sequence.
GUCUAUGGCCAUACCACCGUGAAUGUGCCUGAUCUCCUCCGAUCUUGGAAGCUAAGCGGGGUCAGGCCUGGUUAGUUCUUGGAUGGGAGAAAAUGCCUGGCAGAUUCCUUUGUCU